rnacentral:rRNA from 1 species
GACGUAGGUGGCGAACGUUAUCCGGAAUUAUUGGGCGUAAAGGGUGCGCAGGCGGUCUGCUAAGACAGAGGUGAAAUCCCCGGGCUUAACCUGGGAAUGGCCUAUGUGACUGGCAGGCUAGAGGAUGGCAGAGGGAGGCGGAAUGCCACGUGUAGCAGUGAAAUGCGUAGAGAUGUGGCGGAACACCGAUGGCGAAGGCAGCCUCCUGGGCCAAUCCUGACGCUCAGGCACGAAAGCGUGGGGAGCAAACAGG